rnacentral:rRNA from 1 species
UGAGACAUAACAUACCACCCAGAAAGCGCCCAAUCUCUUCUGAUCUCAGAAGCUAAGCAGGGUCGGGCCUGGUUAGUACUUGGAUGGGAGACAUAAUAAUAAAGGCAGGAUUUAUUUUAA